rnacentral:rRNA from 1 species
UACGGAGGGGCUAGCGUUGUUCGGAAUGACUGGGCGUAAAGCGCGCGUAGGCGGAUCGGAAAGUUGGGGGUGAAAUCCCGGGGCUCAACCCUGGAAUUGCCUUCAAAACUCCCGGUCUUGAGUUCGAGAGAGGUGAGUGGAAUUCCGAGUGUAGAGGUGGAAAUUCGUAGAUAUUCGGAGGAACACCAGUGGCGAAAGGCGG